GGUUAAGUUACAAAGGGCGCACGGUGGAUGCCUUGGCACUAGGAGCCGAUGAAGGACGGAACUAAUACCGAUAUGCUUCGGGGAGCUAUAAGUAAGCUUUGAUCCGGAGAUUUCCGAAUGGGGGAACCCAGUACACAUCAGUGUAUUGCCUGCAAGUGAAUACAUAGCUUGUUGGCGGCAGACGCGGGGAACUGAAACAUCUCAGUACCCGCAGGAAGAGAAAGAAAACUCGAUUCCCAUAGUAGCGGCGAGCGAAGUGGGAAGAGCCCAAACCGAGAAGCUUGCUUCUCGGGGUUGUAGGACUGGACAUUGGAGUUACCAAAGUUCGACGUAGUCGAAGUCAGCUGGAAAGCUGCGCCAUAGAAGGUGAAAGCCCUGUAAACGAAACGGCGGACUCUCCGUCCAGGAUCCUGAGUACGGCGGAACACGUGAAAUUCCGUCGGAAUCCGGGAGGACCAUCUCCCAAGGCUAAAUACUCCCUAGUGACCGAUAGUGAACCAGUACCGUGAGGGAAAGGUGAAAAGCACCCCGGAAGGGGAGUGAAACAGUUCCUGAAACCGUGUGCCUACAAUUAGUCAAAGCCCGUUAACGGGUAAUGGCGUGCCUUUUGUAGAAUGAACCGGCGAGUUACGUUUGCCUGCGAGGUUAAGAUGAAAAGUCGGAGCCGGAGCGAAAGCGAGUCUGAACAGGGCGCUUCAGUAGGUAGAUGUAGACCCGAAACCAAGUGACCUACCCAUGACCAGGUUGAAGGUGUGGUGAAACACACUGGAGGACCGAACCCAUGUAUGUUGAAAAAUGCUGGGAUGAGUUGUGGGUAGCGGUGAAAUUCCAAACGAACUUGGAGAUAGCUGGUUCUCUCCGAAAUAGCUUUAGGGUUAGCCUCGGAGGAUGGAUCAUGGAGGUAGAGCACUGUUUGAACUAGGGGCCCGUCAAGGGUUACUGAAUUCAGAUAAACUCCGAAUACCAUUGAUCUUACUCCGGGAGUCAGACAGUGAGCGAUAAGGUCCAUUGUCGAAAGGGGAACAGCCCAGAUCACCAGUUAAGGUCCCUAAAUUUAUGCUAAGUGGAAAAGGAUGUGGCGUUGCACAGACAACUAGGAUGUUGGCUCAGAAGCAGCCACCAUUUAAAGAGUGCGUAAUAGCUCACUAGUCGAGUGGCACUGCGCCGAAAAUAUACCGGGGCUAAGCAUAAUACCGAAACUGUGGGUGCACCCGUCAGGGUGCGCGGUAGGAGAGCGUUCUAAGGGCGUUGAAGGUCGAUCGUGAGGACGGCUGGAGCGCUUAGAAGUGAGAAUGCCGGCAUGAGUAGCGAAAGAUCAGUGAGAAUCUGAUCCACCGUAUGACUAAGGUUUCCUGGGGAAGGCUCGUCCUCCCAGGGUUAGUCGGGAUCUAAGGCGAGGCCGCAAGGCGUAGUCGAUGACAAGCAGGUUGAGAUUCCUGCACUAGUUUAUUUUGUUUAAGCGAUGGAGGGACGCAGGAGGCUAAGGAAAGCGCACGGCUGGAAAAGUGCGUCCAAGCAGUAAGUCCGGUAGCGAGUGAAAUGCUUGCCGCCUUAAGGACAAGCUGUGAUGGGGAGCGAAAUUAAAGUAGCGAAGUUCCUGAUGUCACACUGCCAAGAAAAGCUUCUAGUGAGAAAUAAACUACCCGUACCGCAAACCGACACAGGUAGUCGAGGAGAGUAUCCUCAGGUGAGCGAGCGAACUCUCGUUAAGGAACUCGGCAAAAUGACCCCGUAACUUCGGAAGAAGGGGUGCUGACCGCAAGGUCAGCCGCAGUGAAUAGGCCCAAACAACUGUUUAUCAAAAACACAGGUCUCUGCUAAAUCGUAAGAUGAUGUAUAGGGGCUGACGCCUGCCCGGUGCUGGAAGGUUAAGAGGAUGAGUUAGCGCAAGCGAAGCCCAGAAUUGAAGCCCCAGUAAACGGCGGCCGUAACUAUAACGGUCCUAAGGUAGCGAAAUUCCUUGUCGGGUAAGUUCCGACCCGCACGAAAGGCGUAAUGAUUUGGGCACUGUCUCAACGAGAGACUCGGUGAAAUUAUAGUACCCGUGAAGAUGCGGGUUACCCGCGACAGGACGGAAAGACCCCAUGGAGCUUUACUGUAGCUUGAUAUUGAGUGUUGGUACCGCUUGUACAGGAUAGGUAGGAGCCGUAGAGAUCGGAACGCUAGUUUCGAUGGAGGCAUUGGUGGGAUACUACCCUAGCUGUAUGAACACUCUAACCCGCG
rnacentral:rRNA from 1 species